GAGCCAUAAUGCCUAUGGGCACCCGAGUAGUCCGAAAAUUUCGGAUGUCAUUCCGGUAGAUCGAACAGUGAAAGUAGCAUCACUGUUGAGAGAACGGUCGAUUAGUGGCCAAGUUUGAGCACGUGGGCCUAGUAGUACCUCAAGGUAAGGUAGGCGGUUGUGCUCGUGCGGCCGGUGUGCAUAGGCAAGAUUGCCUAACGCUGGACUUCGUGUGGAACGCUGUAGAGGCGUAGAGCGCUCGAGUGUAGAUACCCGUAGAGUACGGAUGUGGAUUCAGCCGAGAGAGUGUAUUGGCAGUAGCACUUGAGCAUUGCUAGGUGUGAAGCGUGCCAUGGAUCCCUCGUAGGACUGGUGACUCGCAUUGGGUGCAUAGUAGCUAGUAGUGAUACGUGUGACUCGGUAGAGCAUGUCGUGUAGGACGACGACGGUGGGUAGUACUUGCAGAUUACCCGUGCCUGGACCGUUUGUGGACUGUGGAGCCUGGGCCCAUUGGGCAGGCGCAGUCAGCUGCGAGUGACAGCGGCCCGGUACCUACGGGUAGGGCGGAGUUCUGGUCAGGACGGUAGUCUGAGUUUAGGCCCGGGAGCGUGGAAUGCCACGCGAUAAAUUGUGUAACCGAUGGUACACCGAGUAUGAUUGUGACCCAACCCGAGGACUUGACGUGGUUUGGGGUCUUAGUUGCUCCUGGUUGGAGUGUGUGCGAAUUCCCAAGUGAGAAUUUCGCCCGAUCAUGAUUGGGUCUGCAUUUGCGAGCGAGAGACGCUGCGUAUUGAGACAGGUUUAAGCUGUAGGCCUACGUAGGAUUGGUGGCCUUUGGUCCACCUGUGGAGACCGAUGAGAGCGAUUUGGCAGAUAGCCUUAUCGAGGAGUUUGACUCGAAUUCACGAACGGAGUGCUCGCGUGAGCCCGUUGCGAAAAUAGUUUGAUGUUGAUCGUGGCAUGUGGUAUCAGAUGAUGAAGUAUUCAUUGUGAAACAUCAAACUAGCGGAAAGCCACAUGAUGUUGGACACUAUGUUCGUGAACGAAUUAAAGCUUGAGAGGUGCCGAAGUGGGCCAUCUCACGUUAAAGUUGAGGGUCAGUGCGAAAUUAGAGCACUCACGACGGAGCAAUGCAUCGGUGAUAUUGCUCCUAAGCAAUGUCGGUGAUCGAAUUGGAAUGCAUUCCCUGAAGGAAAGGUAAGUGCAAAGAAGAGUUCUUUGUGUAUCGAAUGGUGAGUGGUGUUGGAGCGCGUUGAGUCGUCGAGUACCGACUUGCGCUGCCACUAUGACUUGCAAGACCCGUGAUGCACGUUUGUAUCACACCUUGCAAAUGUGUUUAGGGUUAAACCUACGUCCUUCAGUAUGAGCCGCUUCUGGAACCACGAUGGUGUGAAGCCGCUCUGGAGUGGGAGAAUGAGUCGGUACCCUCAAUUGCUCGCGGAGCUGAAUUGAGGCAUGGUUUGAAUUUCGCGGACGAAAUUCUUUUAAGGGUGGAGAAUGUAACAUACCAGAUUUUGGUAUAAAAAUAAAAAUAAAUAAAAAUAGUGUGAGAAACUAUUUUUAUUGGAUUUGUAGGAGUAAAACAUAAGUCAGAAGUGACUUGUGCUGAAAUCGGAAUGAAAACAGAAGAUCUAGAAUUUUCUGUUGGAAACGGGACAGAUAAAUUAGCAGAAAAUGCACAGUCUCAGAAAAUUAUGAAAAUUGGAGGAUAAGUCAGAAAUAUUUUUAUGAGGCUAGAUUUAAAGUUUCAAAUUUUUCUGACACCCGUAGAGUGAGAAAUAAAAUCCGACAGCUAUCUGAUAAAAAUUACAGUUCGGCACAGUUUUCGGUGACCAAAUGGGGUCGAAACUGAAAACUUAAAAUAUAUUCUUACUCAGUACGU
rnacentral:lncRNA from 1 species